rnacentral:tRNA from 2 species
GGAAAGGUAGUAUACGGGUAACUGUAUCGAGGGUUCGAAUCCCUUCCUUUCUG